CCUACGGGAGGCAGCAGUGAGGAAUAUUGGUCAAUGGCCGGAAGGCUGAACCAGCCAUGCCGCGUGAAGGUCAGUGCCCUAUGGGCGUUAAACUUCUUUUGUGCGGGAGCAAUAAUGGUCACGUGUGGCCAGACGAGAGUACCGUACGAAUAAGCAUCGGCUAACUCCGUGCCAGCAGCCGCGGUAAUACGGGGGAUGCAAGCGUUAUCCGGGUUUAUUGGGGUUAAAGGGUGCGUAGGCUGUGAGGUAAGUCAGCGGUGAAAUGCCCACGCUCAACGGGGUGAAGUGCCAUUGAUACUGCCUUGCUGGAGUGCGGAAGACGUGGGAGGAAUGUGUGGUGUAGCGGUGAAAUGCAUAGAUAUCACACAGAACACCGAUUGCGAAGGCAUCUCACGAAUCCGCGAUUGACGCUGAUGCACGAAAGCGUGGGUAUCAAACAGGAUUAGAUACCCCAGUAGUC
rnacentral:rRNA from 1 species